AAGAAAAUCGUUUCUCCAAUGAAGUUAUUAGAUUCUGCGUAAUGCGAUUUUUGACCUAUAUGUACGUUUUAUUUGCGUUUAUUAGAAAGACGUAAACGUUUCAAAAAAUUGCUCUACACAUGCAGAAAUUGGUUUCUGCAGAUGUUAGCAAAGGGCCUGAACUCGAUAGCCAUUGCCGUUCGCGAGAACGUGUAAUUAGACCAGCUUGUAAAUAUACUUCGAAACUCCUCUCUUCUAAGAACACGUGCGUGAAUUAAAUUUCGUCUGAUAAAAACUAAAUACAUAAAUCUAAAUAAUCAAUUUACAAAAGCGAUAAGAUUUAAACAAGAAAAUAAUAGGCAAUUACAAGCAAUUCUAAAAGGAAAAAUAGAUACUGAGAUAACACAUUCAAGUAAAGUAACCCAACCUUGUGCUAUUAUUUACACUUAAUAAAUUGAACUAUUAUCACAUACAGGGUGGUAAGAACAGGAUUAGUUAUGGGUGUUUGGACUCAAUCCUAGACACGCCAUCGCUUGACCCGGAUGCCAAGUAAGAUUGAAUGUUAUUUCCACCCCUCUCACCCCCUCCCCCUCCCCCAUUCACGAGUGCAAAUUAUGCUAAUAUUUUAUGAUCAUUUUACCGCCUUUUUGUUUGUUUGUUUGUUUGUUUUUUGUACAUUCUUCGCCCGUUGGACCCUAGCAUGCUCCUUUACAUAAACAGCCUUAAUUGGUAAAUACAUUGAUUUCCGUGAAAUGUGGUGGCAGAUGACUACCGUAAUAUUUUAAAUAUCAAUGUUGUAUCAAUGAAGAUCCAAGAGGUAAUCUCAGUUAUGUGACGAUUUGUGUUGUUAAUACAUUUGUAAUGUGGACACCCUGUAUAGUAAAUAUGACAUUGACACUAUUUUCUGAAAGUUGUUUUGUUUGCAUUCAUAAAUUUACUGUUCCGAAUCCAUCCUAAUUUGCCAAGUGCAAUUAGUGCACAAUAAAGCGGCCUUGAUACAGAAUCUACCUGGUAACGGAGAAAAUUUAGCGUUUAAUGACCCGUUAUCUUAUCGUGUGUCAAAUUCAUUUUUUGCUGUCGUAUUAUUACACUCAUCAAACGUUAUUACGCCUAAUAACCUUUAUUAAACUUUCCGCAGUUCGCGCAAUGCCUAGCAAUCUUUAAUUUCAUUGGAAGUCGACCGAGCGUGUAUGUGGGUUACGAGUGAAUAUAUAAACAAACAAAUAAAUUUGAACACAUUAAAAAAGUCCAAACACGGAGAGAAACCAUUAAUAAAUUUCAAUAAUUCUAUUCGAAAGAUGUUCACGUUGGCGAUCGUCUGUAGUCCACGCAAAAGGUGCGUGUCACUAACGCUUUUUAUAGUAGUACCAUUCGUGCGAUGCGUGAUUUAUCGCGAACAAAGAGACUUUAAUUAGGACAAAAUAAUUAAAAUUUCGCGUCGCGCGCCCAAAACCACUAACGCCCUCUACGUCCACGAGCGAUCGUUUCGCAUCGGACCAGCCGUCUGCGGGCCUUAAAUCAUCUCAGGGUUUUCCUAAAUUUAGUGCGAAACCUCAAGGUGAUCGAGUGUAUGUCUUUAAUUAAGCUGUCACAGUCCCUUUUUAUUCAACAAUUCGGAGAAAUUUGCCGAUGAUUGACGUCAAAAUUCCAUUGGCUGAGGCUCAGUUCUCAUCCUCGCUGACAAGUGAAAUGAAUAAAACGAUUUGCGUAUACACGAGCGCAUUUGGUUGGACCAUUGCUCAUUUUCAGCAUUACAAAUCGCGUAUAUCAACAACACAUAUUAAAUCCGCUCUUUUUUGGCAUACAAAGAUGUACAUGAUUACAUUAAUUUUUGGGUCAAAAUCAGCGUCGGAUUAAGGGGCGAGGUAGGGGGGUUGCACCCCCGUGAUCCCAGCUUUCCAAUCCACACACCUCAAGUUACGAGUAGGUACCUAUUUUUAAGAUUGCAAAUGUAUUUAUGUAUUAUGAAAGGUACAAAUUAAAAAUGUGCAAAAUC